UUUGUUUCUAAUAUCCUACACAGUCCAGCAGCUCCCCCUGUGUUUGUUUGCUUUCCCCGUCUCUGUAAGGAGCUGUGGUCUCCCCCUGUUCAUCCCCGAAGGGUGUGGCUGGAACAGCUGACGGCAAUCAGCCCUCAGGGGACUCUCCUACAUCAACCGGGGUCUUCCUGCCAUUCAGCGCCAGAUCCUUCUGUCGUCAGAGUGAGAGGAUCAUCCCAAUCCGCAGUGAAGGAUACAAGUCCUCAAGCAGAAGGGGACAGAAGAGCUCUGUUUACAGUCUGAGAGAGAGUGAUGACAUCGUCCAGAGAGGAUUAUGGGAGAUUUAUAUAAAACAUACACAAAGACAGAAAGAUGAUGAAUGUUUUUAUAGGAUAAUUCAGCCGGUUGUGUUAUGUAUAUAUACAUAUAUAUGU